GAAACCUCCAAAAUUACUCAACAAAAGAUAUCUAUGACACUUAAUUUGAGUAUACUCGUGCAGAAAAAGGUCAGGCUAAGAAAAUGUUAGAAAUUGAGAAAGAGACAAUAACCAAAUGCCUUAUCUUCUCCUCCAAUUUUCUUAGCAAUAAACCAAAUCACUAACACUAAAAGCAACAGAAUGUGCUAAAUCUGAACCGAUCUAACAACAGAA
rnacentral:misc_RNA from 1 species